rnacentral:lncRNA from 1 species
UCGUUUUUACCAACCCAACAAGUUAGUCUUUUCUCUGCUGGUCGUUUUUACCAUCCAGCAUAGUCUUUUGACCCUUUGUCUUUGUCUCAUGUCUCAUUAAGCUGUCGCUUUUUUAAUUUCUCCAAGCCGAGGGUACCAAACUGUGAGAACUCUUAGGUUCUUUUAUGCUACUAACCCGUAGGUUCAUUCCCAGCCAACAAUGCAUGCACUACCAAGCCAAUCAUCAAGGAUCGCUCUUCUUAUAACUCUCAGCCAUAGUCUUUGCACCCUUUGUCUUUGUCUCAUGUCUCAUUAAGCUGUCGCUUUUUUUACUUUCUGCAAGCCGAGGGUACCAAACCAGCCAACAAUGCAUGCACUACCAAGCCAAUCAUCAAUGAUCUCUCUUCUUUUAACUCCCAGCCAUAGUCUUUUGACCCUUUGUCUUUGUCUCAUGUCUCAUUAAGCUGUCGCUUUGUUUAAUUUCUCCAAGCCGAAGGUACCAAACAGUGAGAACUCUUAGGUUCUUUUAUGCUACUAACCCGUAGGUUCAUUCCCAGCCAACAAUGCAUGCACUACCAAGCCAAUCAUCAAGGAUCGCUCUUCUUUUAACUCUCAGCCAUAGUCUUUGCACCCUUUGUCUUUGUCUCAUGUCUCAUUAAGCUGUCGCUUUUUUUACUUUCUGCAAGCCGAGGGUACCAAACCAGCCAACAAUGCAUGCACUACCAAGCCAAUCAUCAAUGAUCUCUCUUCUUUUAACUCCCAGCCAUAGUCUUUUGACCCUUUGUCUUUGUCUCAUGUCUCAUUAAGCUGUCGCUUUGUUUAAUUUCUCCAAGCCGAAGGUACCAAACAGUGAGAACUCUUAGGUUCUUUUAUGCUACUAACCCGUAGGUUCAUUUCCAGCCAACAAUGCAUGCACUACCAAACCAAUCAUCAAGUAUCUCUCUUCUUUUCGUUCCCAGCCAUUGUCUUUUGAUACUUUGUCUCUCUCUUAUGUCUCAUUAAGCUGUCGCUUUUUUUAAUUUCUCCAAGCUGAGGGUACCAAACUGUGAGAACUCGUAGGUUCUUUUAUGCUACUAACCCGUAGGUUCAUUCCCAGCCAACAAUGCAUGCACUACCAAGCCAAUCAUCAAGGAUCGCUCUUCUUUUAACUCCCAGCCAUAGUCUUUGACCCUUUGUCUUUGUCUCAUGUCUCAUUAAGCUGUCGCUUUUUUAAUUUCUCCAAGCCGAGGGUACCAAACUGUGAGAACUCUUAGGUUCUUCUAUGCUACUAACCCGUAGGUUCAUUUCCAGCCAACAAUGCAUGCACUACCAAACCAAUCAUCAAGUAUCUCUCUUCUUUUCGUUCCCAGCCAUUGUCUUUUGAUACUUUGUCUCUUUCUUAUGUCUCAUUAAGCUGUCGCUUUUUUUAAUUUCUCCAAGCCGAGGGUACCAAACUGUGAGAACUCUUAGGUUCUUUCCCAACCAACAACUCGCAACCAUGCAUGCACUACCAAGCCAAACAUCAAGGGUCUCUUUUCUUUUCAUCCCCAGCCACUUGUGUCUCGAUAAGCUGUCGCUUUUUGUUUAUUUUUCCAAGCCGAGGGUACCAAGCAGUGAGAACUCUUAGGUUCUUUUGUGUUACUAACCCGUAGGUUCAUUCCCAGCCAACAAUGCAUGCACUACCAAGCCAAUCAUCAAGGGCCACUUAUGUCUCAAUAAGCUGUCGCUUUUUUUUUUUGUAAUUUUCCAAGCCGAGGGUACCAAUAUCUGAGAACUCUUUGGUUCUAUCAUGUCUUUGUCUUAAGACUUAAUAACCCGUAGGUUCAUUCCCAUCCAACAAAUCCAAAACCCCUUUUCCAACUCGCAACAAUUCAUGCACUACCAAAGCCCAUAGUUCACAAUCUUGCUCGGGACAAUGUCCCCAAAAUAGAAUCUGACAGAACACCAUUAGAUUAGUGUCUGCCCAUGAUCUGUUUUGGGUUUUGAGAAAACAAAACAAAAACAAAAACAUGAAAAACUAAAACCCCCCAUAACAUAAGAAUCCGCAAAACAAGUAACCAGA